UAGAUCACUGUAACUAGAAUAACAUUUUGUUUUACUAUCUAACUUUGACGAGUGUUACAAAUCAUCGAAUUAAAGUCGGAUGCGACUGAGAUUUCGGAGCUUUUUGCGUAGCUCUUGAAUGCCCCAUGUGUGCAGAUGUGCGGGUGUGGUGGAGUUCUAAAAACUCCUGGGAAUGUCGCGACACACAGUGCCAUUGAAAGAGAUUAUGAUUCUCGCUAACGGACGCUGGUGACGGUAAAGGAGCCUCCACUGGUCUCUGCUUUGAUAUUAAUUGGUACGAACUGAAUGUAAAGUGUUUCUGAACCGUCUUCAAAUCUUCGCCAAACCCUCCCCAAAAGCCUGCAGAGAUAAAACUAAAUGACCCAAAGGAAGAAGCCAACUGCUAUGGAGCCUCCGCGACCUAAAGACGCUGUAA